rnacentral:lncRNA from 1 species
GAACAAAUCAUAACUUAUACAUAUAGUUUCAAUCGAAGUUACACAUAGGCCUCAUUCAAAACCUUGAACUUUAGAAAUAUUUUUAGACUGAAAAAAAUCAAUACUUCAACAUCCAUACAUGUGUUCAAUAGCAACCAGCUACAACGGUAAACAAACUUUACAUAAGACGAUAAGAUUUUGAGUCUUCAUACUAAGGUACACAUAUGGUUUAAGCUCAACACAUGGUUGCAACCAUCCUGUGAAAUUGUAUUAUUCAAAGAUGGCCACAUGUCUCCAGCAGAAGAGUCACGUGCUUGCAAUGCUUUGAAGGUGUUACUGUAGAAAGAACCAUUAUAUAGACAUCCUAGUUGACUGCUACAACUACUAUCAUGUAGAAACAUCUUCCAGUGAGGAUGCCAACCUGCAUCGAUAAGAUGGUACAACUGCUAUGAGCUAAUAACUUUGAUAAAUGAGCAAUAUUGUAGCACACAAAAGAUGGACAUAGGCUCAGACAGCAAAUACAUACUUUCAUAAUAAUCAUUUUGCAAACAACAAAGUAGCUUACAACUACAUAAGGCAGCUGACAUGUAUUUCUACUGGCAUGUUUUCAAACUCCCCAUGUGUAUCUGUACCGAUCUUAUUGCAGUUGAGUACGAAUUCACAAAUAUUGAUACUUUCCAUUACAAUUCAAGCUAUGUAUAAACAUUACGAGAGAUGUUUCCUUUCGCACAAACAACACAGGUUCAUGUAGUGGCGUAGCGAGGAAUCCGAACCAGGGUGGUCCAAUGAACACAGAUCAUUUUUCUACAGGGAAGCGCCUGCAGACAAACGGUUGAUGAUUUGUAAUACUAAAACUAACAUGCUUCUAACCACAUUCUUCAUUAAUGUUUCUCCCUUUAUCCAAAUCAAGUUGACCAUGUGACCAUAACCGGCACAUUAUUAAUUUAAAAAAGUAAACACACAAAUAUAUCUAAACUGGAUCUGAUUUGAUGGAUUUCCAAUUAAAUUUUGAACUUUUUAAGGAUGCAUCCUAUGAAUCUUGUUAUAUACUUUUCAGAAUCCUAUUAAUAAACAGAUAUGAGCAGAAAGGAAAGAAGCACCUCUCGGUGAUACACUCAUUGCUUGUAUGCUUUCAUCUGAUGGGGUAUACAUCAAGAUUGAUUAUUCAAAAUAAAGUAUGCAACUCCUACAACUGACUGUAAUGUAACAAUAAGAUGCAACUAAGGAGCAGAAUUGUGUACUCGAUGUACCUCUGAAGAGUACAUAAGCCAUAGUUCUCAAGCAUCUUCUUUCUUAGCUAUUAGAUGAGAAAAUAAAAUUGUGUACGUUCAAGGGAUCAUAAACGACAUACAUCAAACAACAUCGAAACCUUUCUUCCAGGACAAACUAAAGGCACGUCAGUAUAGCAUACAAUCUACAAACUAUAAUUACCUGUAUGGCGGGAUGUUAAAAAUGAACAGAACUACAUACAUAUACAGGUGUUUCUAUUUCAUAUGUUGCUUAGCUCGCAUGGAAAAGUAAAGACUUUUUUAUGUGAGGACAUCUGAUACGUGCAACAAAGUAUAUACUUUUGCAUGUACCUAAGAUGGUAUUGCUCAAAGCGGAGGAAGACCCUCUGAUAUCAUCUGUAUAUCAUUACUUUGACACCUAGAUGUUGCCCUUAUUUUUCCUGAAAGAAAUUUUACAUAUGAAAUCAAUAUAUGUAAGGAAAAACUGGAAUAAGAACCAAACAUCCACAUGAAGGAAGCACUUGCUUAUUUCUAGUUAGAUCUGUACCCAAAAAGAUCAAACAUGUAUUUAUGUAUAGCAAAGUAGAAUAAGAAAACAACCGCAGGUGCAAGGAAGCACUUACAAAUAUCUUAGCUUACUCCUAGCUAGCUUUCUGCCCAAAAGAAAAAAAAAUCAUAUCUAUAUCUGGAGCAUACCUCAAUUAAUUGAAUCCAUCUUAGGCCAAAGCAGCGGCACGGACGCAGCCAACCUGCAGUGUCUACUGUAUCCUGUAACAGACAAAUCAAGCAUUAAAAGCGAAGCAAAUGCAAAAGGAUAUCCGGUACAAGAGAAAGCAAAAGGAACCCAAACACGGCCAAAACAACACAAGAACUAUGUUGUUCGCUAGAACCUAAAAACAAACAGAAGACUUCCCUGCCCAAGCUAAUUUCUACUUUGAUGUUGCUAUUACUAAAAUGACCAUAUGUUUCUGGUCAGACAAGAUACCAGGCAGCAAUUAUUAGUAACACAUGCAGUACAUAGUAUAGGCUGAAUGUUUGCAGCUGAAAAUUGCACUUUGUAACAAAUAUUUACAAGUAAAACAAAGCGUCAACUGUUGCUAAAGCGGUCUGCACUGGCUGAGACUGACGGUUCCAGAUACAUUCAUCCAUCCGAGUGCUCUGCUAUUUUCUUCAAAGCAGAGGAAGAAGAUUUGGCAUAAGUGCUCGACCAUGUGGUGUCAUUAAUCAUUGAAAUUUUUAAAUGGUAUUACCUGUCGCUCUGAGACACCAACAUCUAUUGACUUGUGAUUCUGGAAGGCACACACAUAAGUAAAUGUAAGCAUAAGUUUCUGACAAGUAUGUCAACUAUUGAUCAUUCCUACGUCAACAGAAAAAAACAGAAAGAAAUAUAAGAGAACAGGAAGCACCAGGGACCAUAC